ensembl:lncRNA
GAGAGAGAGAGAAACAGAGAGACACAGAGAGAGAGAGGGAGAAUGAGGAUGAUCACAAACAUUCUCUUCAACUCACCUUCAACAACUUUUAGAGUACAUAUCCCUUCGACAUGGUGCUCUGCAUUAUCACGCUGAAACAUGAGGCAGAUUUAUGGCACGACAACGGGCCUCAGGAACUCAUCAUGUUGUCUCUCUGCAUUCAAACUGCCAUCGAUAAAACGCAACUGUGUUCGUUGUCCGUAGCUUAUACCUGUUCAUAUCAUAACCCCUCCGCCACCCCAGGGUGACACCAGCAAACCGCCCACACGACGCCACACACAUCGCUGUCUGCCAUCUGCUCGGGUACAGUUGAAACUGGGAUUCAUCUGUGAAGAGCACACUUCUCCAGCAGGCCAGUGGCCAUCGAAGUACGACACCGAACUGCAAUCAGGUCAAAACCCCCGGUGAGGACGACAAACACACAGCUUCCCUGAGACGGUUUCUGAUAGUUUGUGGAGAAAUUCUUCGGUUGUGCAAAACCCAGUUUCAUCAGCUGUCCGUCCGGGGUGUCUGGACUCAGACGAUCCUGUGGAGGUCCUGGGUUAUACUGGUUACACAGGUUAUACUGGUUAUACUGGUUACCCAGGUUAUACUGGUUAUACUGGUUACACAGGUUAUACUGGUUAUACUGGUUACACAGGUUAUACUGGUUAUACUGGUUAUACUGGUUAUACUGGUUAUACUGGUUACACAGGUUAUACUGGUUACACAGGUUACACAGGUUAUACUGGCUAUACUGGUUAUACUGGUUACACAGGUUAUACUGGUU